rnacentral:rRNA from 1 species
UACGUAGGGACCAAGCGUUGUUCGGAUUUACUAGGCGUAAAGGGCGCGUAGGCGGCUUAACAAGUCACUUGUGAAAUCUCCGGGCUUAACUCGGAACGGCCAAGUGAAACUGUCAAGCUAGAGUGCAGAAGGGGCAAUCGGAAUUCUUGGUGUAGCGGUGAAAUGCGUAGAUAUCAAGAGGAACACCUGAGGUGAAGACGGGUUGCUGGGCUGACACUGACGCUGAGGCGCGAAAGCCAGGGGAGCAAACGGG